rnacentral:rRNA from 1 species
UACGUAGGGUGCAAGCGUUUGUCCGGAAUUAUUGGGCGUAAAGAGCUCGUAGGUGGCCUGUCGCGUCGGCUGUGAAAACUCGGGGCUCAACUCCGAGCUUGCAGUCGAUACGGGGCAGGCUAGAGUUCGGCAGGGGAGACUGGAAUUCCUGGUGUAGCGGUGGAAUGCGUAGAGAUCCGGAGGAAGACCGGUGGCGAAGGCGGCCUGCUGGGCAGUUUCUGACACUGAGGCGCGACAGCGUGGGGAGCAAACAGG